rnacentral:ncRNA from 1 species
GGCUGUGAAACCAGGACGCCAGUUCUGGUGGAGCCAUCCUUGAAAUACCACCCUGUCGUGCUUGACGUUCUAACCUGGGCCCGUAAUCCGGGUCGGGGACCGUGUGUGGUGGGUAGUUUGACUGGGGCGGUCUCCUCCCAAAGUGUAACGGAGGAGUUCGAAGGUACGCUAGGUACGGUCGGAAAUCGUGCUGAUAGUGCAAUGGCAUAAGCGUGCUUGACUGUGAGACUGACAAGUCGAACAGGUGCGAAAGCAGGACA